AACCCGAAUUCCCAAUUUCCUCAAGACCCAAAAGUUGAAAAUCCCAAACCCUUCCCCCCAAAAGCUAUCCACGAAAAUUUCCCCCCUCCUUGGCAACUUUAACCAGCCAGCCCUAAGGUGUCCCUCCUCUCUCGGCAAACAUGAAUCUUCAAGGGACCUCGUUGAGUUAGAUAAACUUCAAGAUUCUUUGUUAUAGCUGCAUAAUUGCUUAAGAGAGCAGAUGAGUUGGUGAGACAUAGUAACCUUCAUCAUCAGUGGAUAUAGGAAGGUGGCAGUCCUGCUGAAUCAGGAGGUUUCAAUGAUGUUUCUUGGUGAGAUGAUUGAUGGAGUAUCAUAAGAUAUUAUUUACUGCUCACUUUCUCUUGGACGUUCACAAGAAACAUUGCCUUCCAUGCAUUUGACACAAUCUACUAAUGGCUCUCAACUUGCCAUAGCAAGGACUUUCUUCGUGUAGGUUAUUCACCAGAGACGAGACCUGGUACUGGAAAAGCAUCGGAGCACUUCUCGGGUUUCACUUUUCUUCAACGUCCACUGAUGACUAUGAUCACUAUCCAGUCUCACAUAACUAAAUUUUCUCUUCAAUUUUUUUAUCCAUGUUGUAGAGAGUUAUUAUAUUGUGGAUUUACGGGGACAUGAUGAAACUAUAAUUUCUCUUGUAAAAGCGUAUGGAUAUGCUUGAGUUGAAAUAGAACAACAUUUUUCUAUUUUAAUUA